rnacentral:rRNA from 1 species
AUACGGAGGGGGCUAGCGUUGUUCGGAAUUACUGGGCGUAAAGCGCACGUAGGCGGCGCACGCAGUCAGAGGUGAAAGGCCUGGGCUCAACCCAGGAACUGCCUUUGAUACUGGUGUGCUAGAGUCCGGGAGAGGGUAGCGGAAUUCCCAGUGUAGAGGUGAAAUUCGUAGAUAUUGGGAAGAACACCGGUUGCGAAGGCGGCUACCUGGACCGGUACUGACGCUGAGGUGCGAAAGCGUGGGGAGCAAACAGGAUUAGAUACCCCGGUAGUCC